rnacentral:rRNA from 1 species
ACGCUGGCGGCGUGCUUAACACAUGCAAGUCGAACGCUGAAGCCCAGCUUGCUGGGUGGAUGAGUGGCGAACGGGUGAGUAACACGUGAGUAACCUGCCCUCUUCUUUGGGAUAACGCCCGGAAACGGGUGCUAAUACUGGAUAUUCACUGGCCUUCGCAUGGGGGUUGGUGGAAAGGUUUUUUCUGGUGGGGGAUGGGCUCGCGGCCUAUCAGCUUGUUGGUGGGGUGAUGGCCUACCAAGGCUUUGACGGGUAGCCGGCCUGAGAGGGUGACCGGUCACAUUGGGACUGAGAUACGGCCCAGACUCCUACGGGAGGCAGCAGUGGGGAAUAUUGCACAAUGGGCGAAAGCCUGAUGCAGCGACGCCGCGUGAGGGAUGGAGGCCUUCGGGUUGUAAACCUCUUUCGCUCAUGGUCAAGCCGCAACUGUGGGUUGUGGUGGGGGUAGUGGGUAAAGAAGCGCCGGCUAACUACGUGCCAGCAGCCGCGGUAAUACGUAGGGCGCGAGCGUUGUCCGGAAUUAUUGGGCGUAAAGGGCUUGUAGGCGGUUGGUCGCGUCUGCCGUGAAAUCCUCUGGCUUAACUGGGGGCGUGCGGUGGGUACGGGCUGACUUGAGUGCGGUAGGGGAGACUGGAACUCCUGGUGUAGCGGUGGAAUGCGCAGAUAUCAGGAAGAACACCGGUGGCGAAGGCGGGUCUCUGGGCCGUUACUGACGCUGAGGAGCGAAAGCGUGGGGAGCGAACAGGAUUAGAUACCCUGGUAGUCCACGCUGUAAACGUUGGGCACUAGGUGUGGGGGCCACCCGUGGUUUCUGCGCCGUAGCUAACGCUUUAAGUGCCCCGCCUGGGGAGUACGGCCGCAAGGCUAAAACUCAAAGGAAUUGACGGGGGCCCGCACAAGC